rnacentral:rRNA from 1 species
AUGAACGCUUGCGGCGUGCCUAAUACAUGCAAGUCGAGCGAACAGAUGAGGAGCUUGCUCCUCUGACGUUAGCGGCGUACGGGUGAGUAACACGUGGAUAACCUACCUAUAAGACUGGGAUAACUUCGGUAAACCGGAGCUAAUACCGGAUAAUAUAUUUAACCGCAUGGUUCAAUAGUGAAAUACGGUUUUGCUGUCACUUAUAGAUGGAUCCGCGCCGCAUUAGCUAGUUGGUAAGUUAACGGCUUACCAAGGCAACGAUGCGUAGCCGACCUGAGAGGGUGAUCGGCCACACUGGAACUGAGACACGGUCCAGACUCCUACGGGAGGCAGCAGUAGGGAAUCUUCCGAAAUGGGCGAAAGCCUGACGGAGCAACGCCGCGUGAGUGAUGAAGGUCUUCGGAUCGUAAAACUCUGUUAUUAGGGAAGAACAAAUGUGUAAGUAACUAUGCACGUCUUGACGGUACCUAAUCAGAAAGCCACGGCUAACUACGUG